AUCAUCAUCUCCAGAGAGUCUUCAGCCAUGUUUUCUCUCACUGUAAACUCCCCUAAAUCUUUAUCUCUCUCAACCCCAUUUCUCCCUAGUCAUCCCCACCCCAUCCCCACCAUAACCCACAAACCAAAUCUCAGUCCAAGACCCAUAUCAGCACUUAUCAUCCCUCCUUCAGGUCAAAGAAACCAACAAUAUUCAACAGCACCACCACAACAACAGCAGCUUUAUCAGCCAUUUAGACCACCCCCUUCUCCUCUUCCACCGAAAUUUCGCAAUCUUGACACCAAUUCCAAGCUCGAAGUUCUCGCUAAUCGUCUUGGACUUUGGUAUGAAUAUGCCCCUUUGAUACCUUCGUUAACCAGUGAAGGGUUUACGCCUUCUACACUCGAGGAAAUUACUGG
rnacentral:misc_RNA from 1 species